AUACGGAGGGGGCUAGCGUUGUUCGGAAUUACUUGGCGUAAAGCGCGCGUAGGCGGAUUGAUCAGUCAGGGGUGAAAUCCCGAGGCUUAACCUCGGAACUGCCUUUGAUACUGUCAAUCUUGAGUUCGAGAGAGGUGAGUGGAAUUCCUAGUGUAGAGGUGAAAUUCGUAGAUAUUAGGAAGAACACCAGUGGCGAAGGCGGCUCACUGGCUCGAUACUGACGCUGAGGUGCGAAAGCGUGGGGAGCAAACAGGAUUAGAAACCCUAGUAGUCC
rnacentral:rRNA from 1 species